UACGUAGGCAGCAAACGUUGUUCGGAGUUACUGGGCGUAAAGAGUGCGUAGGCGGUUCGCCAAGUUCGGUGUGAAAUCUCCCGGCUUAACUGGGAGGGUGCGCCGAAAACUGGCGGGCUUGAGUGUGGGAGAGGGAAGCGGAAUUCCUGGUGUAGCGGUGAAAUGCGUAGAUAUCAGGAGGAACACCGGUGGUGUAGACGGCUUCCUGGACCACAACUGACGCUGAGGCACGAAAGCGUGGGUAGCAAACAGGAUUAGAUACCCUGGUAGUCCACGCCCUAAACGAUGCAAACUUGGUGUAGGCAGUUCAGUCUGUCUGUGCCGGAGCUAACGCGUUAAGUUUGCCGCCUGGGGAGUACGGUCGCAAGGCUGAA
rnacentral:rRNA from 1 species